UACGGAGGGUGCAAACGUUGCUCGGAAUCAUUGGGCGUAAAGCGCACGUAGGUGGCCUGUUAAGUCGGGUGUGAAAUCCCUGGGCUCAACCCAGGAAGUGCACUCGAAACUGGCAGGCUUGAGUACUGAAGAGGGUCGCGGAAUUCCCGGUGUAGAGGUGAAAUUCGUAGAUAUUCGGAAGAACACCAGUGGCGAAGGCGACUAACUGGACAAGUAUUGACGCUGAGGUACGAAAGCGUGGGGAGCAAACAGG
rnacentral:rRNA from 1 species